GGGACACGUGGUAUCCUGUCUGAAUAUGGGGGGACCAUCCUCCAAGGCUAAAUACUCCUGACUGACCGAUAGUGAACCAGUACCGUGAGGGAAAGGCGAAAAGAACCCCGGCGAGGGGAGUGAAAAAGAACCUGAAACCGUGUACGUACAAGCAGUGGGAGCACAGGUUUACCUGUGUGACUGCGUACCUUUUGUAUAAUGGGUCAGCGACUUAUAUUCUGUAGCAAGGUUAACCGUAUAGGGGAGCCGGAGGGAAACCGAGUCUUAAUUGGGCGUUAAGUUGCAGGGUAUAGACCCGAAACCCGGUGAUCUAGCCAUGGGCAGGUUGAAGGUUGGGUAACACUAACUGGAGGACCGAACCGACUAAUGUUGAAAAAUUAGCGGAUGACCUGUGGCUGGGGGUGAAAGGCCAAUCAAACCGGGAGAUAGCUGGUUCUCCCCGAAAGCUAUUUAGGUAGCGCCUCGUGAAUUCAUCUCCGGGGGUAGAGCACUGUUUCGGCUAGGGGGCCAUCCCGGCUUACCAACCCGAUGCAAACUGCGAAUACCGGAGAAUGUUAUCACGGGAGACACACGGCGGGUGCUAACGUCCGUCGUGAAGAGGGAAACAACCCAGACCGCCAGCUAAGGUCCCAAAGUCAUGGUUAAGUGGGAAACGAUGUGGGAAGGCCCAGACAGCCAGGAUGUUGGCUUAGAAGCAGCCAUCAUUUAAAGAAAGCGUAAUAGCUCACUGGUCGAGUCGGCCUGCGCGGAAGAUGUAACGGGGCUAAACCAUGCACCGAAGCUGCGGCAGCGACGCUGAUGCGUUGUUGGGUAGGGGAGCGUUCUGUAAGCCUGUGAAGGUGGCCUGUGAGGGUUGCUGGAGGUAUCAGAAGUGCGAAUGCUGACAUAAGUAACGAUAAAGCGGGUGAAAAGCCCGCUCGCCGGAAGACCAAGGGUUCCUGUCCAACGUUAAUCGGGGCAGGGUGAGUCGACCCCUAAGGCGAGGCCGAAAGGCGUAGUCGAUGGGAAACGGGUUAAUAUUCCCGUACUUGGUGUUACUGCGAAGGGGGGACGGAGAAG
rnacentral:rRNA from 1 species